GUCCCUGCAAGGACAUCCCAUAAAAUUGGAACGAUAUAGAAAAGAUUACCAUGGCUCCUAGGUAAAGAUGACAAGCACAAAUUGAGAAAACCCAAAAGAAAGA